UGAGGAAUAUUGGGCAAUGCCCGAAAGGGUGACCCAGCAACGCCGCGUGGAGGAUGAAGGUCGUAAGAUUGUAAACUCCUGUUAGAGGGGAAGAAUAACUAAGUUUGGAGCUUAGUAUGACUGUACCCUCAGAGAAAGCCCCGGCUAACUACGUGCCAGCAGCCGCGGUAAUACGUAGGGGGCAAGCGUUGUCCGGAUUUACUGGGUGUAAAGGGCGCGCAGGCGGAAUGGAAAGUCAGUGGUGAAAUCCUACAGCUUAACUGUAGAACUGCCGUUGAUACUUUCAUUCUUGAGUUCGGGAGAGAGAGACGGAAUUCCAGGUGUAGUGGUGAAAUACGUAGAUAUCUGGAAGAACACCAGUUGCGAAGGCGGUCUCUUGGUCCGAUACUGACGCUGAGGCGCGAAAGCGUGGGGAGCAAACA
rnacentral:rRNA from 1 species